UGCCCAGCAACUUCUAUCCCUACCUCCUCGCGGUACUGGCCGGGGUACGUGCAAUUUUAGGGAAGAGCGGGUAACCAACCCCGGUUGGAACUUUGGUCGUAUGCUGACAGGGAAGG
rnacentral:ribozyme from 1 species